rnacentral:sRNA from 1 species
CUGCGUUAGGGAUAGCAGCGAAAAUCCUUUUUUGAUGGAGCGUAGCGGAAUUGAAAAAGAUUGCAGCGAAUAGCCCGGCGCUGG